rnacentral:rRNA from 1 species
UACAGAGGGUGCGAGCGUUAAUCGGAGUUACUGGGCGUAAAGGGCGCGUAGGCGGUUAUAUGAGUGUGAUGUGAAAGCCUUGGGCUUAACCUGAGAAGUGCAUCGCAAACGAUAUAGCUGGAGUAGAUGAGAGGGUGGCGGAAUUUCCGGUGUAGCGGUGAAAUGCGUAGAGAUCGGAAGGAACGUCGAUGGCGAAGGCAGCCACCUGGCAUCAUACUGACGCUGAGGCGCGAAAGCGUGGGGAGCGAACAGG